rnacentral:rRNA from 1 species
GUCGAGCGGUAAGGCCCUUCGGGGUACACGAGCGGCGAACGGGUGAGUAACACGUGGGUGAUCUGCCCUGCACUUCGGGAUAAGCCUGGGAAACUGGGUCUAAUACCGGAUAUGACCUUCGGCUGCAUGGCUGAGGGUGGAAAGGUUUACUGGUGCAGGAUGGGCCCGCGGCCUAUCAGCUUGUUGGUGGGGUAAUGGCCUACCAAGGCGACGACGGGUAGCCGACCUGAGAGGGUGACCGGCCACACUGGGACUGAGACACGGCCCAGACUCCUACGGGAGGCAGCAGUGGGGAAUAUUGCACAAUGGGCGAAAGCCUGAUGCAGCGACGCCGCGUGAGGGAUGACGGCCUUCGGGUUGUAAACCUCUUUCAGCAGGGACGAAGCGAAAGUGACGGUACCUGCAGAAGAAGCACCGGCCAACUACGUGCCAGCAGCCGCGGUAAUACGUAGGGUGCAAGCGUUGUCCGGAAUUACUGGGCGUAAAGAGCUCGUAGGCGGUUUGUCGCGUCGUCUGUGAAAACUCGAGGCUCAACCUCGAGCUUGCAGGCGAUACGGGCAGACUUGAGUACUGCAGGGGAGACUGGAAUUCCUGGUGUAGCGGUGAAAUGCGCAGAUAUCAGGAGGAACACCGGUGGCGAAGGCGGGUCUCUGGGCAGUAACUGACGCUGAGGAGCGAAAGCGUGGGUAGCGAACAGGAUUAGAUACCCUGGUAGUCCACGCCGU